CGUUCCUAGGCAGUGGCCACCACGGGGAGGUUCAUGUGGUGGGAGACGUCGGCACGACGUGGGGAGGUCGAGACGUCCGGAUUUUCUUUUUAACUGCGGGCCAUAUGGAUUGGGGGAAGAAGGUUGGGUUGGGCAAUUUUUUCUGUAUCUUUAGCAAAUCAUUUUCCGGAUUGGGGAAUAACGGUCGGGUCAGACAUUUCUUUUUUCUUAUGGAUCUUUAGAGAAUCAUUUUCUACCACUUAUGGAUGGGAGCGUUUGGUAAUUGUUUUCUGAAUCUUUAGCAAAUCGUUUUUUGGAUUGGCGAACAAUGGUCGGGUCGGGCAGCUCAUUUUUCUGGAUCUUUAGCGAAUCGUUUUCUACCACUUAUGGAUGAGAGUGGUGUGUAAUUGUUUUUCUCGAUCUUUAGCAAAUCGUUUUUCAGACUAGGGAACAAUGGUCUGGUCGACAGCUCUUUUCUCCGGACCUUCAGAGAAUCAUUUUCUACCACUUUUGGAUGGAAGUGGUGGGUAAUUGCUUUUUCUGGAUCUUUAGCAGAUCUUUUUCCAGAUUGGGUAACAAGGGUCGGGUCGGCAAGUUUUUUUCUGGAUCUUUAGCAAAUUGUUUACUACCACUUAUGGUUGGGAGUGGUGAGUAAUUUUUCUCUGGAUCUGUAGCAAAUCAUUUUCCUGAUUGGGGAACAAUGGUUGGGUCGGACAGCUCUUUUUUUCUUGAUCUUUAGCAAAUUAUUUUCUACCACAUAUGGAUGGCAGUGGUGGGUAAUUUUUUUGCAACUUCAUGGGCAAUUUUAGGACGGACGGGCAGAAGAAAGAAUCCCUUUAUUAGUGUUCAAGAAAACAUUGUGGUAGUGAAGUAUAUUAUGGUCAUUUGUGUUGUGGUAGAGACACUUUCUUUUAUUAGGGCCAGGACAGACGGGCAUAAGCACGCACCACAGAUACAUAAACUUAUGAUUAUUUGUGUUUUGGUAGAGGCACUUUCUUUUAUUAGGGUCAUUUACAUUGUUUCUAUUUGAGGUAGUGAAGUAUAUUAUGCCAAUGAGAUAUUGUACGCAUUCCUUAUUUUUGAGACGUUUUUAAGAGGGAAAGUUAUUACUAACCAACUCCUCGGAUUAAAUUAAAAGGUGUCUAUGAAGGCCAUGUUUUUUGAUUAUUUUUCUCAAGCGGGUAUAGCCGGAUUCGAGUGGCCCAUGCACACGACAAACCAACCCUGCCCCACUCGCAAUAUAUACGGGUCCGGCCCCAUAUCAAACAUAUGGAAAAGAAUAUGUCAUGGAGAGGAUAAGGUUGGGAGAGUUUACGGUGGGUGGGCCCCAUAGGCAGUGCAUGUCUAGCGUAGGAGCAGGUCUACAUGAGGAAAAUAUUAGUCGGUUGAAUAAGGCUGUUCCAUCUUUCAGACGUUUUAAAGAUGGAAAGUGUAUGUGUUAUCAUCUGCUAAAUCUCAAAUUAAUGUGUCUAUAUGAAGGCCAUUAUCUAGUGAGUAUUUUUCUCAAGUGGAGGAUAAUCACCUCAUAUAGAAAUGGUUCGAGCCGCCCAUGGACUCGACGUAGCUAUUCCUACCCUACCCCCAAUAUAUAUGAGUCUGGACCAUGGGACGGUUCCCCUUUGCCUGUUCCGGCACCCAUCUUAGACAACCAGAAUGCCCAGCAUCCUAACCUAGGUGUCCGACGAUCUCUCCCUCCUUUCACCCCCACGACCGUUGAUGUCAUCAGAGCCACCACCUGCAGAGGCGGCGGAGGCUACUAAGGCCGCCGAGCCAUCGGCUUCCUCAUCGAAGGAAUCAAAACCCUCUGACACAAGGGGUGCUACCGCCGUGCCAGGGGCGGACCACGAGGCAAACACGCUAUGCAUCGGCAACCUACCCACACACACAUGCACACAUGGAUGAGGACGACAUCACUACGGCCUUGGCCCUGCAUGUGGCGCCUAACAAAGUCGUCACGCGAGGUGACUCCCGUAGCUACGCCUUAGUCCUCUUUUGCUCACUUGCCGUGUCCUAGGAUUCCCUCGAGGUUCUCCGUGGGUCCAAGGUCAUGGGCUCCUUCAUUUGGAUAAUCUCUCUUCUCCCUUCUCCACUGUCUGGAUCAGCUCCCACCUUGUAUCGCCCCGUGAUCUGGCUGCAGGUUGUCACCCUGCGAUGUGAUUGGUAAUUACGAUUUUGGUGCAUGUGAUAUGGCAUGGCGGCGCACGAGUGGUAGAUUUAUCAUUGCGUGCUCUUGCCAUUUCAUACAUUUCUGGUAGUGUCAACAAAUAUAUGUUUUUAGAUAGUUCUAGAUUGGUAACUGUUCUUGCUCUAGGGUGAUAUUGUUAUGUUGGUGUUGUCUAAAGAUUGAUGCCCUCAUGAUACUUACUGGUGUAAUUCUAGCUUUGCUUUGCCAAGGAGUAGGUCAAUAUCUAGUUACUAUGGUAUGGUCUAAUUAAAGUUUGAAUGAUGUACUAAUACUGAAUGAUCAUUGGUUAGUCAUAGUUGUUUAUUUAUCAAGUGAAAUUGCACCAUUUAUGUGUUACUAUUGUGUAAUGAGUUGUGCACAAGUGACACAAUUUGCUAUUAUUCAAGCUGUGAUUUGAUAUAACUAUGCAGUGUAUUUUAUCUUAGAUCUGUUUCACUUCAAGUUAGACCAUUCAUAGCUAUCUCAUAGUUUUUGUUGCUAGGACUACUUGGAUGAGGAUUUUAUGCAUCUAUUUCAUUAUAGAAAUAGUAUGCCUUCUAAUGGCAUCUGUUCUUUGAUUGGUUUUUACAUGAUAGAGCUAUUAGGAACCUAUGUGUUGGAGGAAUCAUUUCAUCUAUAUCAAAGCAGGAGGUAGAUGAAGAGUUUCAAAGGAUUGGAAAGAUUGAACGUGUUGAAUUAUCCAUUGAUAAAACUUUUGCAUACAUCAACUCUGAGUAGCUGGAAGAUGACAUUUCUACCUAUAAACCUGUGGAUGGGACAAAUUUUAGGGGCCUCAUGAUGCAACAUUCCUCUUCGCCGUAUAGUUUGGAGGGACGGGUCAAAUCCAUAUGGGUUAAUGAAACAUGCUUAAUAAAACAUUAACAUAAACAACAAUGUGCCUACUUGUAUGGUGUAAAGAAAUGUUGUAACCACACUCACAUAAAGUUAUGAUUAUUUGUGUUGUUGUCGAGAUACUCUCUUUCAUCAGGGUCAUUUACUUUGUUUAUUUGUGGUAGUUAAGUAUAUUAUGCCAAUGAGAUAUUGUACACAUUCCUUCUUUUUGAGACGUUGUUAAGUGGGAAAGUAAUUACUAACCAACUCCUUGAAAUAAAUUAAAAGGUGUAUGUAUAAAGUUCAUGUUUUUGUGAGUAUUUUUCUCAAGCGAAGGAUAAUCUGGUUUGAGCCGGCCACACACACGAAAAUGUCGUCCCUCUGCCCCCACCCCCCGGGAAUACAUACAAGUCCUGCCCCAUGGGGAACAUGUGGAGAAGAAUAUGUCAUGGGGAGAGGGUAAGGUUGAGAGAGGUUACGGUUGGCUGGCCCCAUAGGGAACACGUGUGGAGUUGAGGAGGAGGUCCUCUAGAGGAAAAGAUUAGUUGGUUGAAAAAAGGGUUUUACCAUAUUUGACAUGUUUUAAAUAAGGAAAGUGUUUAUGUUGUCAUCCGCUAAAUCUCAAAUCAAUGUGUCUAUAUGAAGGCCAUUAUUUGGUGAGUAUUUUUCUCUAAUGGAGGACAAUCACAUCUCAUAGAAAUGGUUGAGCCGCCCAUGGACUCGGCGCAACCGUCCCGACCCUGCCCGCGAUAUAUAUGAGUCUUGCCCGUGGGUCAGUUUCCCUCUCCCCAUUCCGAACAUCAUCUUAGAUAGCUAGAAUUUUGUGCAUCCUGAUCUAGGCGUCCGGCGAUCUCUCCUUCCUCCCACCCCACACCAUCGUAGAUGUUGUUGGAGCCACCGCCCGCAGAGGCGGCCAAGCUGUCAGCCUCCCUACCGAAGGAAUCAGAAGCCUCUAGCAGAGGGGGUGCCGCCACCGCGCUAGGUGCGGCCCAUGAGGAAAACACGCUAUGGGUCGGCAACCUUCCCACGCAUGUGGGCGAGUAUGACGUCACUGCGGCCUUCAUCUCACAAAGGGCACUUGAAUGCAUCAUCACAUGCGCUGACACUCACAGCAACACCUUCAUCCUCUUUAGCUCGCUCGAGGCACUCCGCGGGUCCAAGAUCAAGGCCUCCUUCAUCCGGAUCAAGUUUUUCCAGCUAGUAAUCUCUUCACUCACUUCUCCAUCAUUCGGAUCUGCAUCCACCUUGGAUCCACCAUGAUCUAGCUGCAGGUUGUCACCCCGUGAAGCAAUUUCUUGGGAAAUUAUGGUUUUGGUGCUGGUGAUUUAGCAUGACGCCGCAUGAGAGGGAGAUUUAUCAUCCCGUGCUCAGGCUCUUUUAUGCGUUUUAGGAUGUGUUGGCUUGUUAUAUAGUCCUAGAUUUGUGAUUGUUCCUUGUUCUAUGUUGAAAUUGUUAUGCUAGUGUUUUGUAAAGACUAUUGCCGUCAUGAUACUUACUAUUGUAAUUCCAGCUUCAAUUUGCCUUGGAAUAGGUCAAUAUCCAGUUACUAUCAUAUGGUCUGGUUUAAUCUAAAUGGUGUACUAAUAUUGAAUGAUCCUUGGUUAGUCAUAGUUGUGUAUCUCUAGAGUGAAAUUUCUCCAUUCAUGUGCUACUGUUGUGUAAUUAGUUGUGCACAAAUGACACAAUUUGAUGUUAUUCAUGUUGUGAUUUCAUAUAACUAUGUGCAUGUUAUGAUUUAUCUGUUACACUUUAAGUUAGAUCAUUCAUAGAUAUCUCAGUCUUUGUUGCUAGGACUACUUGGAUGAGAAUUUAAUUCUUCUAUUUCAUUAUAGAAAUAUCAUGCCUUCUGACGGCUUGUGUCUUUUGAUUGGUUUUGACAUGCUGGAGAUUUUGGGAACCUAUGGGUUGGAGGAAUUAUUCAUCUAUUUCAAAGCAGGAGGUAGACGAAGAGUUUCGAAAGUUUGGAAAGAUUGAAGGUGUUGAAUUCUCCAGUGACCAAACUAUGGCAUACAUCGACUUUGAGAAGCUGGAAGAUGCCAUUUAUGCCCAUAGAGACCUGAACAGGAUAGAUCUAGGGCGCCUCAUGACGCUACAUUCCUCAAUGAUGUAUAGUUUGAAGGGAUAGGUCAAAUCCACAUGGGUUAAUUAAACAUUCUUAAUAAAACAUUAACAUAAAUAACAAUUUGCUUGUUUGUACGAUGUCAGAAAAUGUUGUUACCACACUUACAUAAACUUAUGAUUGUUUCUCUUGUGGCCGAGACACUUUCUUUCAUUAGGGUGAUUUACCUUUUUAAUUUAUGGUAGUGAAGUACAUUAUGCCAAAGAGAUAUUGUAUGCAUUCCUUAUAUUUUAGUCCUUUUAAGAGGGAAAGUUAUUACUAACGAAAUUCUUGAAUUAAAUUAGAAGGUGUCUAUGAAGGCCAUGUUUUUGUG
rnacentral:lncRNA from 1 species